rnacentral:rRNA from 1 species
AUUGAACGCUGGCGGCAUGCCUUACACAUGCAAGUCGAACGGCAGCACGGGAGCAAUCCUGGUGGCGAGUGGCGAACGGGUGAGUAAUAUAUCGGAACGUGCCCAGUCGUGGGGGAUAACGUAGCGAAAGCUACGCUAAUACCGCAUACGAUCUAUGGAUGAAANCGGGGGAUCGCAAGACCUCGCGCGAUUGGAGCGGCCGAUAUCAGAUUAGGUAGUUGGUGAGGUAAUGGCUCACCAAGGCGACGAUCCGUAACUGGUCUGANAGGAUGAUCAGUCACACUGGAACUGAGACACGGUCCAGACUCCUACGGGAGGCAGCAGUGGGGAAUAUUGGACAAUGGGCGAAAGCCUGAUCCAGCCAUGCCGCGUGUGUGAAGAAGGUCUUCGGAUUGUAAAGCACUUUAAGUUGGGAGGAAGGGUAGUAACCUAAUACGUUGCUACUUUGACGUUACCGACAGAAUAAGCACCGGCUAACUUCGUG